rnacentral:rRNA from 1 species
GAUGAACGCUGGCGGCGUGCCUAAUACAUGCAAGUCGAGCGAAAAGACGAGGAGUUUGCUCCUCUGACGUUAGCGGCGGACGGGUGAGUAACACGUGGAUAACCUACCUAUAAGACUGGGAUAACUUCGGGAAACCGGAGCUAAUACCGGAUAAUAUAUUGAACCGCAUGGUUCAAUAGUGAAAGACGGUUUUGCUGUCACUUAUAGAUGGAACCGCUCCGCAUUAGCUAGUUGGUAAGGUAACGGCUUACCAAGGCGACGAUGCGUAGCCGACCUGAGAGAGGGAUCGGCCACACUGGAACUGGGACACGGUCCAGACUCCUGCGGUAGGCAGCAGUAGGGAAUCUUCCGCAGUGGGCGAAAGCCUGACGGAGCAACGCCGCGUGAGUGAUGAAGGUCUUCGGAUCGUAAAGCUCUGUUAUUAGGGAAAAACAAAUGUGUAAGUAACUAUGCACGUCUUGACGGUACCUAAUCAGAAAGCCACGGCUAACUACGUG